GGGGGGAGGUCGGAUCCUGGGCUGUGUCCCAGGCUCCCAGUGCUCCCGGACCUGCGCUGUUGGAUUCGCGCUCCCGCGGUGCAGCCUCCU
rnacentral:pre_miRNA from 1 species